CCUAACUCCAUAAAGGUCACUGGACAGCCUUUCUGCCAUUACUAGCCAUUAGUUCUUGGGCAAGUGACUUCACCUUUCUGAGUUUUCUCAGAUUUAACAAGUGGGAUAAUACCUACCCUCAGCUGGCGUGAAGGUUAAAUGAUAUGCUUUAGUUACAGUGGGAUACGCGGCAGGUGCCCCAAAAAUGCUAGUUCCUUUCUCAGUCCCUUUUUUAUUCUGAGGCCCUGAGGAAACAUCAGGAACUCGAGAGAACAACCUCUUUCAAGGCACAGAAGGCUGAAGCGCAUUAUCAAUAUUUUGUAUGUUCACGGCUCCAAGGACGGCUGCAGAAGUGCACUAGGCUGGCUGGGUUUCUGGGAGCCAAUGCAUCCAACUGGUAAAAAGUCGGUGGCCUCUGUGGGAGCGGUUUUGCCGAGAGGGCAGGGUCCUGCUCAGUGGCACUUGCCCUGGGUCAGAGCACUGUCUCCAGAGUACUGCCUGCCUGAACCUCCCACCCCGCUUCUCUGGCCUUUGGGGUCGCCUCCUGCAAGUCACGCCUCUGCCCUUCCUCCCUGCUGCUGCCCUGAUGCUGGUCCACUACCCACUUCCCUGAAUGGUGGACACCCCCCAGAAAAUCAGGACACUUCCCAGGGGAAAAAGUAUUGUUAGAGGAGCUCUAUUUUACAGGACUCACAGGCUGGGUUUUGUUGGUUAUGUAUGGUGGCAUUGGAGCAGGCAAUCACAGGGCCAUCUGUGUGAAUGGCGGGGGGCGGCGGGUGUGGGGAGGAGGCUUGUGAAAGUGCCCGCCAAUGCGGGCGUCCUCACUGGAAGCCCGUUGGUCUUUCCGAUUCGUGGGGUGAGAUGGUUAGAAAAACCGCUCUUCCUUUGUUUAGAACUGAACUAGGUGCAUGGAAUGAAGGGCGAUGACCCUGUUAACAUCUUGUAGAACCAGAUACCAGUUGUAACUGUGCAAAUCAGGGCCUGCCCCAUCUCCUCAGCUGGAGCAGCCACUGGUGCUAUUGGUGCCGUGGUGGCAAGCUGAGCUCCUAAAGGGCACUGUUGGGGUCAGGGAAAGCAUAUAUAUUU
rnacentral:lncRNA from 1 species